UUUAGGGAUAACAUCAACCCUACCCUCCCUCUCUUUCCCUUCAUCCUGUCUCUCUCUCCCCUUCGUCCUGUCUUAGGUAACACUCCCUAAUCUCCAGAUCGUCGGAUUUGUAACAAAUGCUCCUACAAUCGGUAAUUUUCUGUUGCCGUCAGUCACCUCAACGAUUACACCUAUAAUCGUUUUCGACGUUAAUGAAAUCGAUUUCUACAAUCACCAGAUCUUCAUCACUUUCUUCCGGCCUUCAUGUUUAAUCCAAGCAAUAGGUAAUCUAUUGUUUUUAGCGUAUCUAAGUUCUAGAAUCGUCGUCUGGAAUCAACGAUCCGACCUCGGAAUCCAUGGCUUCCUCCGCCAUUGAAGAUUAUUAAGCUAUUGCUUCUAGUUCCCGGUGAAUUAGGUAAUCCAUUGUCGCGCCUAACUUAUUUCCAGUUAUUUGAGGAAAGAUAUUUUGUUCUUGUCUGAUGCUCUUAACCUUGGGAGUCGUGAUCUUGUUAGUGAGGUUUGUUUGGAUUUUAAAAGCAUACAUUGUUUCAAUCUUAUGGAACUUGAUUGUAAUUUUCUUAAUAGGUUUGCCUAUAACACUAAAUACAUAUUGUAAUGCAAUGAAAUGCCUUUUUUAAUCGAAUUUUCUAUGUAAUUCCA